CUCACCAAGGCCACGAUGCAUAGCCGACCUGAGAGGGUGAUCGGCCACAUUGGGACUGAGACACGGCCCAAACUCCUACGGGAGGCAGCAGUAGGGAAUCUUCGGCAAUGGACGAAAGUCUGACCGAGCAACGCCGCGUGAGUGAAGAAGGUUUUCGGAUCGUAAAACUCUGUUGUUAGAGAAGAACAAGGAUGAGAGUAACUGUUCAUCCCUUGACGGUAUCUAACCAGAAAGCCACGGCUAACUACGUGCCAGCAGCCGCGGUAAUACGUAGGUGGCAAGCGUUGUCCGGAUUUAUUGGGCGUAAAGCGAGCGCAGGCGGUUUCUUAAGUCUGAUGUGAAAGCCCCCGGCUCAACCGGGGAGGGUCAUUGGAAACUGGGAGACUUGAGUGCAGAAGAGGAGAGUGGAAUUCCAUGUGUAGCGGUGAAAUGCGUAGAUAUAUGGAGGAACACCAGUGGCGAAGGCGGCUCUCUGGUCUGUAACUGACGCUGAGGCUCGAAAGCGUGGGGAGCAAACAGGAUUAGAUACCCUGGUAGUCCACGCCGUAAACGAUGAGUGCUAAGUGUUGGAGGGUUUCCGCCCUUCAGUGCUGCAGCUAACGCAUUAAGCACUCCGCCUGGGGAGUACGACCGCAAGGUUGAAACUCAAAGGAAUUGACGGGGGCCCGCACAAGCGGUGGAGCAUGUGGUUUAAUUCGAAGCAACGCGAAGAACCUUACCAGGUCUUGACAUCCUUUGACCACUCUAGAGAUAGAGCUUCCCCUUCGGGGGCAAAGUGACAGGUGGUGCAUGGUUGUCGUCAGCUCGUGUCGUGAGAUGUUGGGUUAAGUCCCGCAACGAGCGCAACCCUUAUUGUUAGUUGCCAUCAUUCAGUUGGGCACUCUAGCAAGACUGCCGGUGACAAACCGGAGGAAGGUGGGGAUGACGUCAAAUCAUCAUGCCCCUUAUGACCUGGGCUACACACGUGCUACAAUGGGAAGUACAACGAGUCGCGAAGUCGCGAGGCUAAGCUAAUCUCUUAAAGCUUCUCUCAGUUCGGAUUGCAGGCUGCAACUCGCCUGCAUGAAGCCGGAAUCGCUAGUAAUCGCGGAUCAGCACGCCGCGGUGAAUACGUUCCCGGGCCUUGUACACACCGCCCGUCACACCACGAGAGUUUGUAACACCCGAAGUCGGUGAGGUAACCUUUUGGAGCCAGCCGCCUAAGGUGGGAUAGAUGAUUGGGGUGAAGUCGUAACAAGGUAGCCGUAUCGGAAGGUGCGGCUGGAUCACCU
rnacentral:rRNA from 1 species